UACGAAGGGGGGCUAGCGUUGCUCGGAAUUACUGGGCGUAAAGGGCGCGUAGGCGGGUCGUUAAGUUGGGGGUGAAAGCCCAGGGCUCAACCCUGGAAUUGCCUUCAAUACUGGCGACCUUGAGUAUGGCAGAGGUGUGUGGAACUCCGAGUGUAGAGGUGAAAUUCGUAGAUAUUCGGAAGAACACCAGUGGCGAAGGCGACACACUGGGCCAUUACUGACGCUGAGGCGCGAAAAGCGUGGGGAGCAAACAGG
rnacentral:rRNA from 1 species